CCUACGGGAGGCAGCAGUGGGGAAUAUUGCACAAUGGGGGGAACCCUGAUGCAGCAAUGCCGCGUGGGUGAAGAAGCACUCCGGUGCGUAAAGCCCUUUCAGCAGGGAAGAAAAUGACAGUACCUGGACAAGAAGCCCCGGCUAACUACGUGCCAGCAGCCGCGGUAAUACGUAGGGGGCAAGCGUUAUCCGGAUUUACUGGGUGUAAGGGGAGCGCAGGCGGCGUGGCAAGUCAGAUGUGAAAACCCGGGGCCCAACCCCGGGAGUGCAUUUGAAACUGCCAUGCUGGAGUGCCGGAGAGGUAAGCGGAAUUCCUAGUGUAGCGGUGAAAUGCGUAGAUAUCACGCAGAACCCCGAUUGCGAAGGCAGCAUGCCGGCUUCCGACUGACGCUGAAGCACGAAAGCGUGGGGAUCGAACAGGAUUAGAUACCCCUGUAGUC
rnacentral:rRNA from 1 species